GGCCAGGUAGCUCAGCUGGUAGAGCAGCGGACUGAAAAUCCGCGUGUCGGCGGUUCGAUCCCGUCCCUGGCCACCA
rnacentral:tRNA from 2 species